rnacentral:lncRNA from 1 species
GCAAAUAUGAAAAGGAACAUUCCUUAACACAAGUCUAUAUGUAAGUUUAUGGUGUAACUUGUUUUCUUUCAGUUAAACACGAAUUUUUGUGAAAGAAUGGGAAUAGAACGUAGCUUCACCAGCCCGUACCACCCACAAACCAAUGGAUUGGUUGAAAACGCUAAUAAAUCCAUAAAAAGAGCAUUGCGAAAGAUGGUUGAUGACAACGGGAGUAAUUGGGAUAAAUUACUUGACCCCAUUUUGUUUUCUUUGAGGACUAAAAUACACGCAUCAACAAAAAUGUCACCAUUUCGACUAAUGUUUUGUGCAGACCCACGGUUUCCAGAAGUCUCAGAGAAUUACACGGUAAGUGUAUGUUAUUACCAGCACCUUUCAUGUACACAUGGCAUUAACUGUGUCUUCAUUUUACAAAUACAACCCCUUCUCCAUAAUUUUCCAAAGAUCCCAGAUCUGGAUACACUUGAGGAAGAAUGCUGCAAAGACUACAGCAUCAAUAGGAAAUCGAGACAUGAGGCUGACAUUGCACUGGCCCUAAGUAACAUUUCUAAAGCACAAGAAAAAGAACAAAGAAAUUAUGCUAAAAGAAAGAUUUCUAAAUAUGGGGAAAUAACCUUUGCUGUUGGUGACUCUGUUCUGUUACUGAACACUAGAAAGAGAACAAGAAAAGGAGCAGUACUGGAAUCUAACUAUCGGGGACCAUACAAAAUUACGACAGUUGAGGGUAAGAGAGUGAAAUUAGAAACCAUCUCAGGGAAACAGUUAGGAACCAUGUACAGUAUUGCACACUUAAAACCAUUCAAAGAGCCACCAACAUUAGCUGCUGAAAGCACAUCAGAGGGAAAACUCGGAACUGAAAUUGCAGUUGGUAACACUGAACCAGAAAUACCCACAGAAGAAAUUAGAAAAGUGGUUGGUACUGUAUCUCACGACAGCACAUUAAAAAACAUAGAGGUCACAGCAAUGGAAGAGGAGGAGUAUAUAGGGCAAGAUGUUUCAAAGAAUGAUACAAGUGAUGCGGAUGACAUUUUUGAUGACGUGCUUAUGGAGGACAUGGAAAACAAGCAAUGGAUUCUGAAAGGUAAUUGGUUACUGCACAUUUCUUAAACAGAUUAAAAUACUUCAUAAAUGGAACUAUGUUAAAGGUUUUCAUGUACAAAAUGGUGGCAUUCACAGUAGUAAAACAGAAAAAGGAAACUGUAUUACCAUGCAUGUAAUAUGUGUA